AGGGCACCACCAGGAGUGGAGCCUGCGGCUUAAUUUGACUCAACACGGGAAACCUCACCCGGCCCGGACACGGACAGGAUUGACAGAUCGAUAGCUCUUUCUCGAUUCCGUGGGUGGUGGUGCAUGGCCGUUCUUAGUUGGUGGAGCGAUUUGUCUGGUUAAUUCCGAUAACGAACGAGACUCUGGCAUGCUAACUAGUUACGCGACCCCCCGAGCGGUCGGCGUCCCCCAACUUCUUAGAGGGACAAGUGGCGUUCAGCCACCCGAGAUUGAGCAAUAACAGGUCUGUGAUGCCCUUAGAUGUCCGGGGCUGCACGCGCGCUACACUGACUGGCUCAGCGUGUGCCUACCCUACGCCGGCAGGCGCGGGUAACCCGUUGAACCCCAUUCGUGAUGGGGAUCGGGGAUUGCAAUUAUUCCCCAUGAACGAGGAAUUCCCAGUAAGUGCGGGGUCAUAAGCUUGCGUUGAUUAAGUCCCUGCCCUUUGUACACACCGCCCGUCGCUACUACCGAUUGGAU
rnacentral:rRNA from 1 species